AUUGAACGCUGGCGGCAGGCCUAACACAUGCAAGUCGAACGAGUGGCGGACGGGUGAGUAAUGUCUGGGAAACUGCCCGAUGGAGGGGGAUAACUACUGGAAACGGUAGCUAAUAACGAAUACCAUCGGAUGUGCCCAGAUGGGAGUAGCUAGUAGGUGGGGUAACGGCUCACCUAGGCGACGAUCCCUAGCUGGUCUGAGAGGAUGACCAGACAGACUGGAUCUGAGACACGGUCCAGAAUCGUACGGGAGGCAGCAGUGGGUAAUAUUGAACAAUGGGCGCAAGCCUGAUGCAGCCAUGCCGCGUGUAUGAAGAAGGCCUUCGGGUUGUAAAGUACUUUCAGCGAGGAGGCGUUACUCGCAGAAGAAGCACCGGCUAACUCCGUGCCAGCAGCCGCGGUAAUUC
rnacentral:rRNA from 1 species